UCCCUGGUGGCUCAGUUGGUGAAGAAUCUGCAUGCAAUGCAGGAGACCCAGGUUCAAUCCCUGGGAGGGGAA
rnacentral:tRNA from 1 species